rnacentral:rRNA from 1 species
CAAGUCGAACGCGACUUAGGCUUCGGCCUAAGUUGAGUGGCGAACGGGUGAGUAACACGUGGGUGACCUACCUUCGAGUGGGGGAUAACGUCCCGAAAGGGACGCUAAUACCGCAUAACAUCCUGCCUUUGAACAGGCGGAGAUCAAAGCCGGGGAUCGCAAGACCUGGCGCUUGAUGAGGGGCCCGCGCCUGAUUAGCUAGUUGGUGAGGUAAUGGCUCACCAAGGCGACGAUCAGUAUCCGGCCUGAGAGGGCGGACGGACACACUGGGACUGAGACACGGCCCAGACUCCUACGGGAGGCAGCAGUGGGGAAUUGUUCGCAAUGGGCGCAAGCCUGACGACGCAACGCCGCGUGGAGGAUGAAGGUCUUCGGAUUGUAAACUCCUGUUGCUCGGGACGAAAAGCUUCGACCUAACACGUCGAAGUCUGACGGUACCGAGUGAGGAAGCCCCGGCUAACUCUGUGCCAGCAGCCGCGGUAAUACAGAGGGGGCAAGCGUUGUUCGGAAUUACUGGGCGUAAAGGGCGCGUAGGCGGCCUGCUAAGUCGAACGUGAAAUCCCUGGGCUCAACCCAGGAACUGCGUCCGAUACUGGUUGGCUUGAAUCCGGGAGAGGGAUGUGGAAUUCCAGGUGUAGCGGUGAAAUGCGUAGAUAUCUGGAGGAACACCGGUGGCGAAGGCGACAUCCUGGACCGGUAUUGACGCUGAGGCGCGAAAGCCAGGGGAGCAAACGGGAUUAGAUACCCCGGUAGUCCUGGCCCUAAACGAAGAAUGCUUGGUGUGGCGGGUAUCGAUCCCUGCCGUGCCGAAGCUAACGCAUUAAGCAUUCCGCC